rnacentral:rRNA from 1 species
GACGUAGGGCGCGAGCGUUGUCCGGAUUUAUUGGGCGUAAAGAGCUCGUAGGCGGCUUGUCGCGUCGUCCGUGAAAACUUGGGGCUCAACCCCAAGCUUGCAGUGGAUACGGGCAGACUAGAGGUAGGUAGGGAGAAUGGAAUUCCCGGUGUAGCGGUGAAAUGCGCAGAUAUCGGGAGGAACACCGGUGGCGAAGGCGGUUCUCUGGGCCUUACCUGACGCUGAGGAGCGAAAGCGUGGGUAGCAAACAGG